rnacentral:rRNA from 1 species
GACGAACGCUGGCGGCGUGCUUAACACAUGCAAGUCGAACGGAAAGGCCCUGCUUUGGGGGGGUGCUCGAGUGGCGAACGGGUGAGUAACACGUGAGUAACCUGCCCUUGACUUUGGGAUAACUUCAGGAAACUGGGGCUAAUACCGGAUAGGAGCUCCUGCUGCAGGGUGGGGGUGGGAAAGUUUCGGCGGUUGGGGAUGGACUCGCGGCUUAUCAGCUUGUUGGUGGGGUAGUGGCUUACCAAGGCUUUGACGGGUAGCCGGCCUGAGAGGGUGACCGGCCCCAUUGGGCCUGAGCUACGGCCCAGCCUCCUCCGGGAGGCAGCAGUGGGGAAUAUUGCACAAUGGGCGGAACCCUGAUCCAGCCACGCCGCGUGCGGGAUGACGGCCUUCGGGUUGUAUUCCGCUUUCGCCUGUGACGAAGCGUGAGUGACGGUAAUGGGUAAAUAAGCACCGGCUAACUACGUG